AUGAAUACCCAAGAGGACAAGCAGACUGUUCUAAGCACAUUACCCAAGGACCUACCUCUAGACUUCUUGAGGACCAUCACAGAUCAGUUCUCAGAGAGCCGUGUUGUCGGUAAAGGUGCAUUUGGAACAGUUUAUACGGGAACUAUGCCUGAUGGGCAAACGAUUGCUGUGAAGAAGCUUGCGGAAAAUGCGCCGAUCGCACGCGACAAAAUAUUUAAUAACGAAGUUCAAAACAUCAUGGCUUACCGGCAUGAGAAUAUAGUCAAGUUGGUUGGGUUUUGCCAUGAAGGACAGAAGAAAGUAGUACUGAACAAUGGGCGAUAUAUUGUCGCAGAUGUUUACGAAGGUCUACUCUGUUACGAAUAUUUACCUAAGGGAAGCCUUCAGAGGAACCUCUUUGAUAAACCCAUCGAUAUGGCAUGGGACGUCCGCUUCAAGAUAAUUAAGGGGAUAUGCGAUGGUUUACAUUUUCUUCAUAGCAUUCCUAUUAUCCAUAUGGAUUUGAAGCCUCAAAAUAUAUUGUUGGAUGAUAACAUGACGCCGAAAAUCGCGGAUUUCGGACUUUCCAGGCUAUUUGGCAAAGAACAAACACGUGCGAAUACACAGAAUGUUGUGGGAUCAUACGGAUAUAUAGCUCCAGAAUACCUAUACAGAGGUGAAAUCUCCACUCAGUCAGACAUUUACAGUUUAGGCUUAUUAAUCAUCGAGACUACCACUGGCGAGAAGAAUACCCCCAAACAGAACGAACCAUCAGCAAGGGAAUUUAUUGAAAGAGUACGUCAAAAUUGGACAGAAGGGCACAUAGCAUCCAUAUACCAGUUAAAUCCAAAUGCCCUCCAGGAAGUAACAGUAUGCAUUGAAAUUGGUCUAGAGUGUGUGGACGUUGAUCGGAAGAAGAGACCUUCCAUCGAAAGCAUUGUUGAGAGGCUCGGUAGAUGCUCUGCAAACCUGGUCUCCACCACUUCCAUGCGAACAUGA
rnacentral:rRNA from 1 species